rnacentral:lncRNA from 1 species
GGUCCAGAUUUUGAACAAAUCUCGCUAGAGAUUGAACAGAGCUGCGCCUGGAUCCCGCCACAGUGAGGAGACCUGAAGACCAGAGAAAACACAGCAAACGGAGUCUUGCUCUGUUGUCCAGGCUGGAGUGUAGUGUGGCGAUCUCGGCUCCCUGCAAGAAUCUGCCUCCCAGAUUCACGCCAUUUUCCCACCUCAGCCCCUGGAGUAGCUGGAAGUACAGGCUCCCGCCACCACGCCUGGCUAAUUUUGUUUUUGUAUUUUUAGUAGAGACGGGGUUUCACUGUGUUAGGUAGGAUGGUCUCGAUCUCCUGACCUCAUGAUCCAUCCGCCUUGGCCUCUCAAAGUGCUGGGAUUACAGGCAUGAGCCACCGCACCUGGCUGUUUUUUCAUUUCUAUUAUGAUUUGUUCUGUGGAAUGUCAGUGACUUAGCGGUGUUUUUCACAUGUUUAUAAAGCUGAAUAGUUCUGUAUGUCAGCUCAGCACCCCUAGUGUCAGUCAUGCUACUCUCCUGCUGUGCAUAGAUGGGGGCCUGUCCACACCCAAAUCUCCUGGGUUCCCGCUGUCCGCACCUGAAGGUACCCACCAGAUGUGUCUGUCACUGCCCUCCAUCCACCUUUCUUGUGGUUCUCAUGUUUCUGCCUCCCUAGAGACCAUUUCUCUCUACAGCAGUAGUUUCCAAUAGAAAUACAAUGCCAGACACAUACGUCAUUUUAGAUUUUCUAGUAGUCACUUUA